CGUCAUUUAAAAAAAAAAGUAACAUAUUUACAUCAUGCUGCAUAUAAAUCAAUCCUUUUAUAUUUACAUUUAAGCUUAAAGCAAGCAAGACUUGAACACUUUUUAAUAUCAUUGUCCAAUAAAUUAAAAAUUUUUUGUAGUUUCUACUUUAUUUUUAAUUUUUUCUACUAUUUCUGACAUUUGUAACACAAAGAUUUUGUAAACCACAUGUCGACAUUAAAUUGUUUAACUUAUACAUUACCAGCACAGAAAUCUUUAAAUUUGAGGGAGUCUUAUGCAUUAUCUAUAAUGAUUCUUUUUGCAAAUUUAAAAAAGGCAAAGUCAACUAUUGAAGGCAAAUGGUUUCCAACCCAGUACUAAAAAGGUGUACCUAAUAAAAUGUCCAGUGAGUGUAUGUAAGUAGUUGAAGAAAACAGACUGAGGCUGAUGGUGUUUCAACAUGUAAUUCUAUGUAUCAUCACUCAUUUCACAGCUUCAGCUGUAGAAAGUUACUACAGAGCCGAUCAUGUAGGCAGAGUGUCAGAGAGCCGGUGACACGUAGUUUCUGUCAUCAGUGGCAGUCUGACACUGUUCCCUUUAUGUUCCUGCCUUAACUCGCACAAGAAAUAAGCUACUCAGCUUUUGCUUGUUCCCUUUUUGAUCAAACUAGUUUAUUCUGAACUGGCAGCAUUUUUGAGUGAAACCCUGAAAUGACCCGCUGCCACCAGUGCAGUGGCUGCAGAGUUUCUGCUUUGCCUCCUCCUCCUCCUCACACUGGUGUCAGCCGCCGUCAGCCCACAGCAGCUUCUCCGUUCAGCUCUGAUGUUCAACUCUGCAUGACUGAGUCCUGCUGGCAGGCGGCGGUAGCGUGGAGGCAGACUGUGCCAGCCUGAGACGGCAGAGGCAAGCCAACAUGAGGAAGACGAAGGUGAAGAGGCCAGAGAAGGAGACGGCAACAACUGCUACAGAGGAAGGCCAAGACAGCUCGCUCAGGGAAGCCCCGUCUGCAACAAAGCAGGACAAAGACGGAGAGGAUGAGCUCAGACGGCUAAUGGCAAGGUCAUGCAGAAGAUCAGAACAAGAGUUUAUACAGACACGGAUGGUUUUGGUUGAUGGAAGAAUUGUCUUUUCAUUUAGAUUUUCAGACAUUUCUUUGAAAACAAAGACUUAAAAGUGAAAUAUUGGAGAUUGCAUGUUGGAAUCCUGCAAAAAGUUUAACCCCUUAGCACCUGAAUUGGUUUUCACCUAUGAAAAAAAAUUAGCUUAAGUUUUUUGCUUUAAGUAUAUGCUAAAUUUAGGUCAUUUUAGAAGUUUCCUGCAUAUUUGAGAUAAUAAGGGGUUAAAGUCACAAAUGCAGUUUCAGCCAAACACUUCAAAAAAAUAUAUAAAAAAAAAAACAACCGAAAAAUAAAGAAAACUCCCCAAAAAAUCUGUUUUCAGCAACAAAAAACAAUUAUUUUUAAAGCUUUCUGGCAUAUCAAAAAAAAGUGUGCUGUUGGGUUUAAAUUUUUAGAGAAUGGAUGAACAAUCAUGCAGGCACUCACUUAGAGGUUGUUCUCCGUUCGUGGCUUUUACUCACUCUUUACAUCCCCACUAAUAGGAAGCCACUCAUGCUUAUACAACACAUGAAGCAUUAGUCGGAAGUUAUUUAUCAAAAAACUUGACAGAGAUAAUUCCAUUUCUAUUAAACGACUGUCUGCCUGAAGAGUUUAUGAAGAGCUAUGAGGAAAGUUCACUGAGGCCCCAGGAGGAAAUAUAAAGCAAAACCUUUCACUCUCAUGAAUGUAAGAAUUUAAAAUGAAAAUAUAGACUUAGUAGCCUUUAUAGGAGUAUUUUUUAUCAAUGUGAGUAGAUUAUUUAGCUAAAAAAUAUAAAUUUGACAGAUUUGAAUGCAUUUCUGCACAUAUAUCACUACUUAGGACACUAAAACAACAAAAAAUGUAUUGAAGAUGUGGCACAAGCAACGUGACUUAAAUUACAUGUUGCAAAUCCGUUUCACCUUAACAAACUCUCAUUGGGUAAAAUAAAACACUUUGACAGCAGGGUUGCAAUUUUGCAUCUCAACACUGAUUGAACUCCCUGUUUCCUUCAGGCCACAACAAAGAAAAUAAUGUGUUUUUACUCCACACAAAGAUUGAGCUCAUCUCAAUGCAAAGCGAAACGCUCGCCACACACAAAGAAACGGGGGUCUGGUGCAGCUUGAAGCUACUAUGGACUGUGAGGGUUGUUUCCAGCUCAGUGGCUGAGACCCCAGUGGUGCUGACCCAUUUAGCUGCAGGGAACACGCUGUUCUAGACCUGACAGCUCUCCCGGUCCAAACAAAACAGCUCCAACCCGAGACCGACCCUAAGGUCACGGCCGCGAGGCCCGCCAUGCGUUGGAGCACUAACUGAAAGAAGCCGGUUCCAUCUUUAUGGAUUUCUUACUUGUGUGAUCACAGGUUUAUGUGUGUGCAGCCGGCAUGUCACCAUGGUAACAGAUGGCUGGCAGAAGUUAUAUUCUUUUAAAUUUUGAUGUGUAAGUUACCUGGAGAAUGAAGACAAAGCCAAUGAGAAAUCGGAACUAAACGGCCCGCUUUUUUUUUUUUUUAACCACUUUUCUUUUCUAAAAUCUCUAUUUUUUUGUUUUUCUUUCUUUAAAAAAGUAUAAAUAAAAACGUGUUUUAUUUGUUUAUCAGAAGCUGCAAAAGAGGAGGAGGCUGAUAAGUUUGCUGACACAACCUUUGCAGCAUUUUCUUUUUUCAGUUGGAACUUUGAGAGCUUUUCUAACUCAAGGAACAAUCACUUUAAUGCUUCAGCAAGCAAAAGCAGGAACAAAAAACAAAAAAAAAGCAGUGCUAUUAUUAAACAUGGAAAUGCUAA